CAAAAAGUAAGUAAGGGCACAUGGCGGAUGCCUUGGCUCUCGGAGGCGAUGAAGGACGUGAUAAGCUGCGAUAAGCUGCGGGUAGGUGCAAAUGACCUUUGAUCCGCGGAUUUCCGAAUGGGACAACUCGGUACUUUGAAGAAGUAUCAUCCUGCAUUGCAGGAGGCUAACGCAGGGAACUGAAACAUCUUAGUACCUGCAGGAAAAGAAAAUAAACAAUGAUUCCCCCAGUAGUGGCGAGCGAACGGGGAAUAGCCCAAACCAUCCAUGUUACGGCAUGGGUGGGGUUGUAGGACCACGCCGUGGCAAGAAAGUUGGUGAGCAGAAUGUUCUGGAAAGUACAGCCAUAGAGCAUGACAGCUGCGUAUGCGAAGCCAAGCGAAGCCUAGUGGUAUCCUGAGUAGCGCGGAGCACGAGGAAUUCUGCGUGAAUCUGCCGGGACCAUCCGGUAAGGCUAAAUACUCCCGAGAGACCGAUAGUGAACCAGUACUGUGAAGGAAAGGUGAAAAGCACUUCGAACAGAAGAGUGAAAUAGUUCCUGAAACCAUGUGCCUACAAGCGGUCGGAGCACCUUCUGGUGUGACGGCGUGCCUUUUGCAUAAUGAACCUACGAGUUACUUUUUCCGGCGAGGUUAAGGAUUUCAGAUCUGCAGCCGAAGCGAAAGCGAGUCUGAACAGGGCGUAUAGUCGGAAGGAGUAGACGCGAAACCAAGUGAUCUACCCUUGGGCAGGUUGAAGGAUGGGUAACACCAUCUGGAGGACCGAACCAAUAAGCGUUGAAAAGCUUCUGGAUGACCUGAGGGUGGGGGUGAAAGGCUAAUCAAACUUGGAGAUAGCUCGUACUCCCCGAAAUGCAUUUAGGUGCAGCCUUGACUUAUACUGGCAUGAGGUAGAGCGACUGAUAAGAUGCGAGGGCUUCACCGCCUAUCAAGUCUUGACAAACUCCGAAUGCGUGUCAGUUCUAUGUCAGGAGUGAGGGCAUGGGUGCUAAGGUCCAUGUCCUAAAGGAGAACAAUCCGGACCAACAGCUAAGGUCCCGAAAUGAAUACUAAGUUGAACUAACGAAGUCAGAUUGCUAAGACAGCUAGGAUGUUGGCUUGGAAGCAGCCAUUCAUUUAAAGAGUGCGUAACAGCUCACUAGUCGAGGAGUUUGGCGUGGAUAAUAAUCGGGCAUAAGUAUUCUACCGAAGCUUUGGGAUGAGAAAUCAUCGGUAGGGGAGCAUUCCACUCGGCGUCGAAGGUGAAGCGCGAGCUUUGCUGGAGCGUGUGGAAAAGCAAAUGUAGGUAUAAGUAACGAUAAAGGGGGUGGGAAACCCCCUCGCCGAAAGACUAAGGUUUCCUGAUCAACGCUAAUCGGAUCAGGGUAAGUCGGGUCCUAAGGCUCAGCCGAACGGCGAGGCCGAUGGCAGAACCGGUUAAUAUUCCGGUACUACCUGUGGGAGUGACGUGGAGACGGAGUCGUGACAGCGCCGCGGACUGACGGAAUAGUCCGUUGAAGGGUGUAGAUGCUGAUUGUUCCAGGCAAAUCCGGAGCAAGAGUCGAACCUGAUAGUAUGGAGCGUUCUUAGAACAAUCCAAUAGUGCGUGUAAUCAUACUUCCAAGAAAAUCCGCUAAACUUAAUCCUGCAGGUACCCGUACCGCAAACGGACACACGUAGUCGGGUUGAAUAUACUAAGGCGCUUGAGUGAUUCACGGUUAAGGAACUAGGCAAACUGACCCUGUAACUUCGGGAUAAAGGGUCCUCGCUUUACGGCGAGGCGCAGAGAAUAGGUCCAGGCAACUGUUUAACAAAAACACAGGGCUGUGCAAAAUUGAAAGAUGAAGUAUACAGCCUGACACCUGCCCGGUGCUGGAAGGUUAAGAGGAGAUGUCAUCGCAAGAGAAGCAUUGAAUUGAAGCCCCAGUAAACGGCGGCCGUAACUAUAACGGUCCUAAGGUAGCGAAAUUCCU
rnacentral:rRNA from 1 species